CCGACGGUGAGGGGUGAAAGCUGGGGGAGCAAACCGGAUUAGAUACCCGGGCAGUCCCAGCCGUAAACGAUGCUCGCUAGGUGUCUGGGAUGGUGCGACCGUUUCAGGUGCCGCAGGGAAGCCGUGAAGCGAGCCACCUGGGAAGUACGGCCGCAAGGCUGAAACUUAAAGGAAUUGGCGGGGGAGCACUACAACGGGUGGAGCCUGCGGUUUAAUUGGACUCAACGCCGGAAAACUCACCUGGGGC
rnacentral:rRNA from 1 species